rnacentral:rRNA from 1 species
AUGGUGCUCCACGACGAUGCGGGCCGCGACCUCAAGUUGUCGGCGCUGCACCUCGGCGUGCCCCACGACGACCUGUGGCAGAGGUGGUGCACCCGCCACGCCGAGGUCACUCGAGCCGGGCACCAGACCCUCGGCUCCCUGCGCUCCGCCGUCAACACCAUCGACCUCCUCGACCCCACGAUCGGCAGCGCCACCAACAAGACGGGACUGGGGCACGAGACGCAGCUCCUCCUCCGCGCCCAGGAUGAAAUUCAGUCGGCACGAGACGGGCUUCGGCAGAUGCGGAGCGCGGCGACCUUGGAGGUUUUCGACUCUGCGUGGAUCUCUCUCAAGGGGCAGCCAGCGUGA